ensembl:rRNA 5S_rRNA 5S ribosomal RNA
GCUUACGGCCACACCACCCUGAGCGCGCCCGAUCGUCUGAUCUCGGAAGCUAAGCAGGGUCGGGCCUGGUUAGUACUUGGAUGGGAGACCGCCUGGGAAUACCAGGUGCCGUAAGCU